GAAAUGCGAUAAGUAAUGUGAAUUGCAGAAUUCAGUGAAUCAUCGAAUCUUUGAACGCACAUUGCGCCCCGUGGUAUUCCGCGGGGCAUGCCUGUUCGAGCGUCAGUACAACACUCAAGCUCUGCUUGGUAUUGGAUCGCACCGGUAAACGGUCGGUCUUAAAAUCAGUGGCGGCGCCACCUGGCUCUAAGCGUAGUAAUACUCCUCGCUACAGAGUCCCGGUGGAUGCUUGCCAGCAACCCCCAACUUUCUAAGUUUGACCUCGGAUCAGGUAGGGAUACCCGCUGAACUUAA
rnacentral:misc_RNA from 1 species